UACAGAGGUCUCAAGCGUUGUUCGGAUUCAUUGGGCGUAAAGGGUGCGUAGGCGGCGCCGGUAAGUCGGGUGUGAAAUCUUGGAGCUUAACUCCGAAACUGCAUUCGAUACUGCCGUGCUUGAGGACUGGAGAGGAGACUGGAAUUUACGGUGUAGCGGUGAAAUGCGUAGAUAUCGUAAGGAAGACCAGUGGCGAAGGCGGGUCUCUGGACAGUUCCUGACGCUGAGGCACGAAGGCCAGGGGAGCAAACGGG
rnacentral:rRNA from 1 species